rnacentral:rRNA from 1 species
GACGAACGCUGGCGGCGUGCUUAACACAUGCAAGUCGAACGGAAAGGCCCCUUUGGGGGUACUCGAGUGGCGAACGGGUGAGUAACACGUGAGUAACCUGCCCUUGACUUCGGGAUAACUUAAGGAAACUGGGGCUAAUACCGGAUAGGAAUCCUUGCUGCAUGGUGGGGGUUGGAAAGCUUCGGCGGUUUUGGAUGGACUCGCGGCUUAUCAGCUUGUUGGUGGGGUAGUGGCUUACCAAGGCUUUGACGGGUAGCCGGCCUGAGAGGGCGACCGGCCACAUUGGGACUGAGAUACGGCCCAGACUCCUACGGGAGGCAGCAGUGGGGAAUAUAGCACAAUGGGCGGAAGCCUGAUGCAGCAACGCCGCGUGCGGGAUGACGGCCUUCGGGUUGUAAACCGCUUUCAGCAGGGGCGAAGCUUUUGUGACGGUACCUGCAGAAGAAGCACCGGCUAACUACGUG